AUGUUGAGUGUUAAAUUUAACAGGUGACUUAACUUAGGCUCCGGCUGUUCCUCGGUACGAUCCCUAACCACAUGACUAAUUUACCAUCCUAACAGCCGAGUAAAAGAGAGCAGAUACUGAGGUGUUGUAGUGUUUUGUGUUCGAGCUGAUUCUAUAUCCAAGUGUAAUUAUAUCAGGAGCUGCAGUCAUGCUGUUGCCAGCUCACUGAUUCGUAUCUAAUAUCUUUUCCUCUGACAAGGGAAAUCCUGCAUUGCCCCGCCCUGUCUUCUCCCAAAGGGCUUCCCCCUCCCUGAUGGAAAUGCAGAAGAUGUUUGUGCGUGUGCUAGAAAGAGAUAGAGUUUCUACUUGGUCUUCAUAUGUGUCUAAGUGCCCUAUCUUCUGCCAUUCACUCCGCCCUCCACCCAAUAUUUUCUUUUCCCUCCUAUUUUCCCUUAUUGCGUUUUUCUCUUAACCCAUCCUCCAUCAGAUCUUCCUUUCUGUCUUUCAAUAUCUUUUUCAACCACUAAUCUUAUUUAUUUUUUCGCCCUCCCACCAUCCCAUCCAUUUUUCUCUAAGAUUCUUUGUUUUUCAGCUUCUGUGCAGUAUACCUCCCCCCAUUCCCACUCUGGAUCGGUCUCAUUACUUUACCCACUUUCCCUCUUCCAACUCCAAUCCCAUUUAUGGAAAGUAGUAAAUGGGGAAGCUGACAGAAUCUAUUCCAGUCAGAGGCUGUUCCUUCCUGCUCGGUGCAGUUCGGAUGCCUGGUAACCAGGUCUCUCCACCUGCACCUCAUCCUUCCCUCUGCCUCAACCACCCAUCUGAAUAAUUGAAUUAUCAUUGAAGCUCAAGAUGUCUCAAACGAACGCUGAGGCACACAUCAUUAAAGUCACUGAAGGGGAACAGAGAUCUGCCAGCUCAAUGGAUGGCCAUGUCCGGAAUGCUCUCUAUCCCCUCUAAUCCCACAUCAAGGCCCUUCCUCUCCACUCUGACAUCAGUCAAGUCCACCUGUAGAGAUCAGCCUUCUUCCUUCUCUGUAGUCUAUGGCCACUGACUCAUACUGCAUGAAGAGUAUUUAGAUGCCAUAUGCACAAGCUUCAAUAAGCUAUUGAUUCUAUUUGUAUGACAGAAAGAUAUGUUUUUUUCAUAUCUUCAUCUUUUUUUGUGUGUGGCAUACACAUGGCCGGUAAUGAGUAGACCUUAUUUCAGAGAGAUUACCAGAGUUUGGCCACUGGGGGUUGUGGAGAUGGGACUCAAUUGAGUACUAACACCUAAUAAAGCACCUGAGCACAGAGUUCUGGGAAGAUCAAGAGGAUACGAUAAUCAUCUCUACAAAAAGGCCAAUAUAAUAACCAUCAAAAUUCAGCAAAACGUCUCUCCUACAGUCCCAAUCAUGGAAAAUAUGUGUGAGAAGACUUCCUCUUCACUCAGCAUAACAUAAAGUAUAAAAGAUUAGUUCAGCCAAAAAUCUAAAUUCUGUCAUCAUUGACUUCAUAAAAACAUGUAUUUUGCCUCUUC